AACUGCAGACCGUGUAAAUUGGGUGGGGGUAGUUGGAUUGUAAUGACUGGAGGUCUGAAGCAGAGCCAGAGGAAGAUCAUUGGACUCAGAGUGGAGGUGCUGUUUCAGGCUGUGAUGGCUCUGAAUCUGCAAUGAAAAAGAUGAAAGUACUGAUAUUUUCAACUAUAGAAGUGACAAGGUCAACUAGAAUUUUUACUCUCCCCUUCCUCUCAAAAUAUAUACAAAUUCCAAUACUUUCUGACUAAGUAGAUAGACAAGGUAUGCAAGCCCGUGCAACAGAAAACAGAGAAAGCUCCAUCACAGAAGGGAGCUGCAAGAUCCUGAUUCUGCCACUUGCUUUGGAUGAGCAGACAAAAGUACCCACGUGGAAGAAAGUGCAAGCACCGCCUUUCAGUGCACACCCGAGAGCAUGAAAAGGAUAAAGUCAAAACUGAAUCAAGUACAGAAAUUCCAAUGGACUUCAGUGGAGACAGUUUCACUAGAAGAAAGAUCCCAUCAUCUGGAAAAAUCCCAUCAUUCGGAGUUGCACAAACUGUCUGGGCAUGGAUAGAAGCCUCUCAUUGCUCUGAACACCUUAAUACCUGUCUAUCGACCAUGAGCAAGGUAUGACCUACUCUUUGAAGGAAUACAUAGAGAUCUUAAGUGUUUGGCUAUGAAACAUUUACUAUAGAAACUAAAGGCCCACUCGCCACAGCUCUAGUAAAAUUUCCAUACGGAAAAAGCAAGAUAAAAACCCCAGAUGAAGUUACUUGUACUUGCUGACAGAUAAUAAAUAUAUAUGUAUGUAUGCCUAGCAGAACCCCAUGACACUCUACAAAAGAGAUCCCUAUCAUUACGUCUGUUUUACAGGAAAACCAAGGCAUGGUAAGGUGAGGUGACCUGCACAAGCUAAUGGAGCAGACUAGUGGCAGAGCUGGGAAUAGAUGGGGUUCAGGUAUCCCGAGUCCCCCAUCCAGCGUGCUUAUUUACUAGGCCAAACUGCAGGUCAAUCGAAAAAGUACAGGUAUAAUUUAAUUUUGUGUGUCCUGUGUCCCCAGUAUACUGAGGGAAGAUAGCAAUGAAAAGGUGAAUUCUGUAAUGAACAGGAACACUUCUACUAGAAGCAUGUUGACUGUUAGGGUAUGAAUAGCACCACUAUCUAAAGGAAUUCCUCCUUUCAACCUCUGGAAAAAACAUCCUUUAACAAAAAGUUGAAGUCCAAUGCAAAUGCCUAGGAGAUAUGAUCUCACACAUGAGGGAGUAGUCUUAGUGGCAUAGCAGAAAGAUUCUCCAGCUCUGACACUAACCCUGAUACUGCCUCUAACUGACCUCCAACCUAUACGUAGCCUCUCUCUUUAACAGCAUUUUCAACCCACCCUGGUUGGUCCACAUGGCCUGUAGGCUAAAGCAUGUUUCCAUUUGUCUCAGUAAUCUGUCACUUCAGCAUGAGGAUGACAGCUAAAUCCUUCACAUGCUGACUGUUCUUUGCUGCUUUGCAUAAUUCCCAGAAGAAAGAGAAGUACCCUUGCAAUUAAGGCAUCAGGAAGGAACAACAGGAUCUGUGCUGAGGCACCGAGAACCGUAUGAUGGCUCCCCCUGGUCUCCAGUCCUCCUGCACACAAUUACGAACAUAAGGAAUAUUUUCAAUAUGAGCAAUGAUAGAGAUUCCAAUAUUUCAAACAGAGUGGCAUAAAAGCUUAAAGAUCCAGAGCAAGGGCCCACUUGGGAACCAUGUUUUCUGAACUGAGCACAACUGGUAUCCUUAGAGGUUUAAAUGUUUUUGCAGUUGUCCCUAAGGGCACCCUUUGAAAUUUCUCUCCAUGAUUGCACCAUACCUCUCUGUUCUGAAGGACUGCUUAGUCAGACUGGACUGAAAAAAAGUUUUCAACAUAAUUAGUAUCACUUAAAUACUUCAGGUAGUUUGGCACUGUAGUAUCAUCAUAUAGCCACACAAGUACAUUGAAUGUUGGUUAGAAAUUUGUUUGCAGUGAUUUUGGAAUACACCUGUAGCAUUUCAAUAUACAAGAUAUAGGGUAAGAAAAUUAAAACAAAUAAUGUUUGGAA